UACAGAGGUCUCAAGCGUUGUUCGGAUUCAUUGGGCGUAAAGGGUGCGUAGGCGGCGGGGUAAGUCUGGUGUGAAAUCUCAGAGCUCAACUCUGAAACUGCACUCGAUACUGCUCUGCUUGAGGACUGGAGAGGAGACUGGAAUUCACGGUGUAGCAGUGAAAUGCGUAGAUAUCGUGAGGAAGACCAGUGGCGAAGGCGGGUCUCUGGACAGUUCCUGACGCUGAGGCGCGAAGGCCAGGGGAGCAAACGGG
rnacentral:rRNA from 1 species